rnacentral:rRNA from 1 species
GACGUAGGGCGCAAGCGUUGUCCGGAUUUACUGGGCGUAAAGAGCGCGCAGGCGGUCGUUCAAGUCGCGUGUGAAAGCCCCCGGCUCAACUGGGGAGGGUCACGCGAUACUGAUCGACUCGAAGGCAGGAGAGGGAAGUGGAAUUCCCGGUGUAGCGGUGAAAUGCGCAGAUAUCAGGAGGAACACCGGUGGCGAAGGCGGGUCUCUGGGCAACAACUGACGCUGAGGAGCGAAAGCGUGGGGAGCGAACAGG